UACGUAGGGUGCGAGCGUUAAUCGGAAUUACUGGGCGUAAAGCGUGCGCAGGCGGUUUUGUAAGCCAGAUGUGAAAUCCCCGGGCUUAACCUGGGAAUGGCAUUUGGGACUGCAAAGCUUGAGUGUGGCAGAGGGGACUGGAAUUCCUGGUGUAGCAGUGAAAUGCGUAGAGAUCAGGAGGAACACCGGUGGCGAAGGCGGGUCUCUGGGCAACAACGUGACGCUGGAGGAGCGAAAGCGUGGGGAGCGAACAGG
rnacentral:rRNA from 1 species